rnacentral:rRNA from 1 species
GUGGGGAAUUUUGGACAAUGGGCGCAAGCCUGAUCCAGCCAUGCCGCGUGAGUGAAGAAGGCCUUCGGGUUGUAAAGCUCUUUCGGCGGGGAAGAAAUGGCAACGGCUAAUAUCUGUUGUUGAUGACGGUACCCGCAUAAGAAGCACCGGCUAACUACGUGCCAGCAGCCGCGGUAAUACGUAGGGUGCGAGCGUUAAUCGGAAUUACUGGGCGUAAAGCGUGCGCAGGCGGUUGUGUAAGUCAGAUGUGAAAUCCCCGGGCUCAACCUGGGAACUGCAUUUGAGACUGCACGGCUAGAGUGUGACAGAGGGGGGUAGAAUUCCACGUGUAGCAGUGAAAUGCGUAGAGAUGUGGAGGAAUACCGAUGGCGAAGGCAGCCCCCUGGGUUACUACUGACGCUCAUGCACGAAAGCGUGGGGAGCAAACAGGAUUAGAAACCCGUGUAGUCC